AAAUGCGAUAAGUAAUGUGAAUUGCAGAAUUCAGUGAAUCAUCGAAUCUUUGAACGCACCUUGCGCUCCUUGGUAUUCCUUGGAGCAGGCCUGUUUGAGUAUCAUGAAAUCUUCAAAGUAAAUCUUUUGUUAACUCAAUUGGUUUCUACUUUGGUAUUGGAGGUCUUUGCAGCUUCACACCUGCUCCUCUUUGUUCAUUAGCUGGAUCUCAGUGUUAUGCUUGGUUCCACUCGGCGUGAUAAGUUAUCUAUCGCUGAGGACACUGUAAAAGGUGGCCAAGGUAAAUGCAGAUGAACCGCUUCUAAUAGUCCAUUGACUUGGACAAUACUUUUAUGAUCUGAUCUCAAAUCAGGUAUGACUACCCGCUGAACUUAAGC
rnacentral:misc_RNA from 1 species